AUUUUAAUUUAAUAAUUUUUCAUUUUAGUUAGUUGCUCCCUUGUAAGAAGUUAUAUAGUGAUAAUUUGAUAUAUUGAUAAUUAAAAUAAAAAUGAUUUAAUUAAAGAUAAUUAAAAUUAAAAUGAUUUAAUUAAAGGAGAUGAUGAAAAGGUUAUAUAGUGAUAAUUUGAUAUAUUGAUAAUUCAAAUUAAAAUGAUUUAAUUAAAGAUAAUUAACAUUAAAAUGAUUUAAUUAAAGAAGAUGAUGAAAAAGUUUUUUAAUAGAGAUUGUAAACUUUUCUUAUAGAGUGCCACAUCAUCAAAAUACUUGAUUGUGAGCAACUCAACAUUCCUUUUACUUGUAAAAGAUAUGGAUAUGCUAACUGUAACACCCCAACUAAAUUGUCUAGAAUAUUUAGUCGAGAUAUUAAUAAUUGAAUCUGAGUACAUUAAAAUUUACAGAAUAAUUAAUCGAAUUACAAAUUAUCACGAGAAUAAUGUGAUAAUCAAUACAACACAGUUGAAAUGAUGACUGAAAUCUUAAUAACAGAUUAACAAAAAACAAAGAAGAAGACGAUAGUCUUCUAAUCCGAUAAUCCAAGCUCAACCUCGAUCAUCAGUUCCUGCCUGGUCCUUGCUCCGAUUAACCUGUUUACCUAAAAAAAAUUGAGAGUCGUGGGAUGAGACUACUAAGCCUCAGUGAGCUCCUACUACCCAACUACUGGUGACUACACUGGGGCAACUGAAACUAAUAGUUUCUAACUUUAACCUGAACCUGAAUAUCUAAUAGUCUAAUCCUAACAUAAUCCUGAAGUUUUCAUAAUAUGAUAAUAAAAAAAUAAAGGUGUAACACACAUAAUAAUUAUCUUGUCAAUUUUAUCAUAACAGGAUCACCCCGGGGUAAGCCGGUCCCGGAGUGCCUGGCCUGGUAUUACCGAUAAUAAUGUACGGCGAAAUACAACAUGAGCUUAUAGUUCUUAUUACAUGAUUUUGGAUUCUUAAUGAAUCCCCUGACAUGGUACUAAUGACCACGCUUCCUGAUAUUGGUACUAAUGACCAAANNNNNNNNNNNNNNNNNNNNNNNNNNNNNNNNNNNNNNNNNNNNNNNNNNNNNNNNNNNNNNNNNNNNNNNNNNNNNNNNNNNNNAAAAGAAAGAAAACCUUCCCGGGGUAAUUCUAACUGUCCUGAUUCCUGAACCUAAGUUCCUGAGCGUGAUAAACAUUCUAAUCACAUAAUAUUAUUACGCUGCUUACGAAAUAUUCCAGAAUAGUCAGGGAUAUAAAAAAGAGUGGAUUCUUAUUUAAAAUGUUGAUUCUACAAAGUCCUAAUCUGAUGCGCUCGCUUAGCGAAGCAAGAUGCUCGCUAUGCGAGAAUGCCAGUUCAAUUCUCAGUUUUUACUUUUAAAAGAGUUUAUCAGUUUCCACCUACAAUCCCAUUCAUGUCCAGUCAUAAGCAACUAAAAUAUUAUUAUAUAAUUAGAAUGGAGAUGGUUUUGGGAUUAAACCUUCUCACACAAUUAUUUCAUAAUUUUUCCUAUUGUUGUCAUGCAUAAUUUUGGGGAGACUAAUUUCCUAACUAAUACUAAUGUUAUCAUACAUAUAUUGAAUUUAGGGAAACUAAAGGUGCUAACUAAUCUAAAAGUUAAGCUUCUAAAGGAACCCACCUGAAUUUGAUGCUUUAACAGUACCAUUGACACAUCCGGAGUUUGCUGAAAAACAGAAAUUGCAGCCACAACACUUCAAACCCGUAGCCCAAAAUUCUGCAUCAGACCCUGAACUUCAGAUGCGUCUCCUGAACUCAAUACUGCUCCAAAAUUCAUGAAAUUGGCGUCGAAACGACCGUACAUUCGUUAGUUAACCGUAGAAACAAACUCCAUACGAAACAGAUGUACAGAGAGUGAACAGUCACCGUUUUAGUGAGACCCUGUCCAGAAACACGAUUUUUGCACAGCCAUUCCAAUUCCUCUUGUUUUCUUAUUUCACCCAUCAAUUCUUAACUCCUCCCAAGUGCUCCAAGUUCAGUAAUUAGGAACAUGCAAUUACACCAAGAAGGACUUAGAGUCUAACAUAACCAAGAAAGAAAAGAAGAUGAGUUUGAUUCCUCUUACCUUAGAUUCCUAGUAACCCAAAGGCUUGAACUUGAGUAGGAUCUUUCACAUGCAAAUAUGAAUUUGAAGAAACUGAGUUUGGGGUUUAGGCUUGUUGUUUGGAUUUCGACCAAAUCAAAAGGAAUAGGGAAUAGAAGACUAAGAUGAGUUUCUCUCGUGAACUUUAGUGAGGGAAUUUAAUUUAGGGUUCUGAUGAAACAAAGGGGAAAGGAAUAGGUUGAAUUUCUCUCAUAUACCUUGAUUACCCAACAACAUACAAUGGUGGAAGGAAGCUUUAAUGGACACAUGCAUAGUCUCAUUGAAGAAUUAGAUGAACUUGACCAAUGAGAGAGAGGAUUUCGGCCAAGCUAAGGAAAAAGGGAAGAUUGGAGUUUCAAACAUCUUCUAUUAAUUUCUAAGAUUAAGGGUUAAUGUUUGAUGCUACAUGCAAAGCUUAAAACUUACACAAAGUGAGAAAGAUGGAGUAUGUAUGGGUUGCUUGUUCUGUUUGUUUUUCUAGAGAGAAAGAUGAAGAUGAGUAGUUGAAGAGAGAGAGCACGUGAGCUUUGAAGGAAAAGAGGAGGAGAUGAAACUGAUUUAUUCUCUUUCUUGACUUAACUUGUUAUAUACUAGUGGUUGUCUAGUUUCAAUAAAGGUUUGGGUCCAUUAUUUCUAGUGUUGGUGUUGUUGUUUUUGACGUGGGAGAAGAGAGAAAGUUUGCUGACAAUU
rnacentral:lncRNA from 1 species